rnacentral:pre_miRNA from 1 species
AGUGGAAUUGUUGUGUCAUAAUUCUAAGUUUCACUUUUCGAGAAACUUCCAAGUCAUUUCCCAUAGUGGCGUCACCAUUUUACAUUCCCAUCAACAAU